rnacentral:ncRNA from 1 species
AAAUAAGCUAUGAAAGGGAAAAGUAUUAUAGAAUACAAUUUUCAGGGAGGAAAUAUCAUUGACUGCAAGUAUUUCUAAAUAUGACUAUAAGAAAAACUACCCUGGAGCUAUGAUUUAUUAGCUAAAUUAAGUGAAAUGUCAUCGGUGAAAGUCGUUAAAGCUAUAGAGAAGAAUUGAAUUUUUUAAUUCAAUUUGGGUGGAACCACGGAUAAUCGCAUUCGUCCCAAGC